rnacentral:tRNA from 1 species
AACAGCAUGGCCUAAAGGAAAGAGCCUGGGCCUGGGAGUCAGAAGGCCUGGGUUCGAAUCCCAGCUCUGUUA